rnacentral:rRNA from 1 species
UACAGAGGUCUCAAGCGUUGUUCGGAUUCAUUGGGCGUAAAGGGUGCGUAGGUGGCGCCGUAAGUCGGGUGUGAAAUUUCGGAGCUUAACUCCGAAACUGCAUUCGAUACUGCGGUGCUUGAGGACUGGAGAGGAGACUGGAAUUCAUGGUGUAGCAGUGAAAUGCGUAGAGAUGUGGAGGAACACCGAUGGCGAAGGCAGCCUCCUGGGCCAACACUGACGCUCAUGCACGAAAGCGUGGGGAGCAAACAGG